rnacentral:rRNA from 1 species
GUAGGGAAUCUUGCGCAAUGGGCGAAAGCCUGACGCAGCCAUGCCGCGUGAAUGAUGAAGGUCUUAGGAUUGUAAAAUUCUUUCACCGGGGACGAUAAUGACGGUACCCGGAGAAGAAGCCCCGGCUAACUUCGUGCCAGCAGCCGCGGUAAUACGAAGGGGGCUAGCGUUGCUCGGAAUUACUGGGCGUAAAGGGAGCGUAGGCGGAUAGUUUAGUCAGAGGUGAAAGCCCAGGGCUCAACCUUGGAAUUGCCUUUGAUACUGGCUAUCUUGAGUAUGGAAGAGGUAUGUGGAACUCCGAGUGUAGAGGUGAAAUUCGUAGAUAUUCGGAAGAACACCAGUGGCGAAGGCGACAUACUGGUCCAUUACUGACGCUGAGGCUCGAAAGCGUGGGGAGCAAACAGGAUUAGAUACCCUUGUAGUCC